AGAGUUUGAUCCUGGCUCAGGACGAACGCUGGCGGCGUGCUUAACACAUGCAAGUGGAGCGACGAACCAGGGCUUGCCCUGGGGCAGAGCCGCGAACGGGUGAGUAACACGUGGGUUACCUGCCUCGAUGACCGGGACAACCCGAGGAAACUCGGGCUAAUACCGGAUGUGCCCGCAAGGGGAAAGGAAGCUUCGGCCUCCGCAUCGAGAUGGGCCCGCGGCCCAUUAGCUUGUUGGUGGGGUAACGGCCUACCAAGGCAACGAUGGGUAGCUGGUCUGAGAGGACGAUCAGCCACACUGGGACUGAGACACGGCCCAGACUCCUACGGGAGGCAGCAGUGGGGAAUCUUGCGCAAUGCGCGAAAGCGUGACGCAGCAACGCCGCGUGAGGGAUGACGGCCUUCGGGUUGUAAACCUCUUUCAGCAGGGACGAAGCGCAAGUGACGGUACCUGCAGAAGAAGCAC
rnacentral:rRNA from 1 species